CGGCAACAUUUUUGGAAACUUUCCUCAAUAGACGUCAGUAAGACUCAUCUCACAGAGUACCUAAGAUAGAUAGGUGAGUAAAGAACACAAAAUCCGUUAAAACUAGCCAAAGGCCUCAUAAAUUGGCUAGAAAAUGACUGUGCAAAUGUCAGACCCUAGCUGCCAUAAUUAAUAGCCAGCCUUUACAAUUUCAUGGUGCCAUAGAAACACCAAAACUACACAACACCCAGGAAUCGAACACCUGCCUACUCCCGGCCACACCAUACAUUUUACUUCUACAGACGUGAUAGAGAGCAGCAGAAACAAGUCAUGAUAUGCAGUUUAAAGGGACACUGUAGGCACCCAGACCACUUACGCUCAUUGUAGUGGUCUGGGUGCAAUGUCC